UUAAAAUUAAAAAAAAGGUACAAUCAAUAAAACAUGAGCAGCUAAUAAAACUAUUUCUUGCUCUUGACCUGAGUUAGAACGAUUUGGUCAGUCAAGCGGGAACCCUGACCUCUCAAGAGGGAGAUGGCUCUCACCUUGUACUCAAUUGACCACAAUAGAAUUCUUUUCCAAGUUCAUUCAUGGGUUCUUGACCCCCUUCCACACUGACCCAUAGGAAUAAGAGGUUUUAAAAAGCGAGAGUUAAUGUCUGAUGCAAUUCUAGGUAUCUAAAGAUGUCUGCCGGAGGUAAAAGCCUUCUCACGUGCAUAUUUUUUAUCCAUUGAUUGAAAAGUUCUAAAAAUUGAUGUAGCAGACGAUUUUCGAAGUAGAGUAAGAGUAAAAGUAUUCUUUCAAAUUGAAAAAGAAGUCUGACUUCGAACAAGGGGUCAAUUUCUUAGAAGAACACAGAUGACUGGCGACUUUAAAAAAAGAUUUCGAAGAUAAAAUUGUUGAUGUUG